UACGGGGGGGGCAAGCGUUGUUCGGAAUUACUGGGCGUAAAGGGCUCGUAGGCGGCCAACUAAGUCAGACGUGAAAUCCCUCGGCUUAACCGGGGAACUGCAUCUGAUACUGGAUGGCUUGAGUUCGGGAGAGGGAUGCGGAAUUCCAGGUGUAGCGGUGAAAUGAGUAGAUAUCAGGAGGAACACCGGUGGCGAAGGCGGGUCUCUGGGCCGAUACUGACGCUGAGGAGCGAAAGCGUGGGGAGCGAACAGG
rnacentral:rRNA from 1 species